rnacentral:rRNA from 1 species
GAUGAACGCUGGCGGCGUGCCUAAUACAUGCCAGUCGAGCGAACAGACGAGGAGCUUGCUCCUCAGACGUUAGCGGCGGACGGGUGAGUAACACGUGGAUAACCUACCUAUAAGACUGGGAUAACUGCGGGAAACCGGAGCUAAUACCGGAUAAUAUAUUGAACCGCAUGGUUCAAUAGUGAAAGACGGCUUUGCUGUCACUUAUAGAUUGAUCCGCGCCGCAUUAGCUAGUUGGUAAGGUAACGGCUUACCAAGGCAACGAUGCGUAGCCGACCUGAGAGGGUGAGCCGCCACACGGGAACUGAGACACGGUCCAGACUCCUACGGGAGGCAGCAGUAGGGAAUCUUCCGCGAUGGGCGAAAGCCUGACGGAACAACGCCGCGUGAGUGAUGAAGAACUUCAGAUCGUAAAACUCUGUUAUUAGGGAAGAACAGAUGUGUAAGUAACUAUGCACGUCUUGACGGUACCUGAUCAGAAAGCCACGGCUAACUACGUG